rnacentral:rRNA from 1 species
GACGAACGCUGGCGGCGUGCUUAACACAUGCAAGUCGAACGGAAAGGCCCUGCUUUUGUGGGGUGCUCGAGUGGCGAACGGGGGAGUAACACGUGAGUAACCUGCCCUUGACUUUGGGGUAACUUCAGGAAACUGGGGCUAAUACCGGAUAGGAGCUCCUGCUGCAUGGUGGGGGUGGGAAAGUUUCGGCGGUUGGGGAUGGACUCGCGGCUUAUCAGCUUGUUGGUGGGGUAGUGGCUUACCAAGGCUUUGACGGGUAGCCGGCCUGGGAGGGUGACCGGCCACAUUGGGCCUGAGAUACGGCCCAGACUCCUACGGGAGGCAGCAGUGGGGAAUAUUGCACAAUGGGCGGAAGCCUGAUGCAGCAACGCCGCGUGCGGGAUGACGGCCUUCGGGUUGUAAACCGCUUUCGCCUGUGACGAAGCGUGAGUGACGGUAAUGGGUAAAGAAGCACCGGCUAACUACGUG